AUGAUUUUUUUCUCACAGCCCAAAGUGAUCAAAAGGGAGCCUGUCUCUGUUCUUAGUAAGCUGAUGGAUUCAAAAGAAGCUAAUAAGAAAACAGACCUGAUGGAAGAGCUUGGUUUGGGGGAUGCUGAUGAUCUUGAAGAUGCUUCAGACUGGGACUCCGCCAGCACCACCAGUAAGGCCAGUAAGAACUACCCAGUUCAUAAGCUAGAAGAGGAACCCCUCUUUGAAAGCCCAGCAGCUUCCACACUACCCAUAACACCUCAGCAACAGGACAUGGACACCAGGGAACAUAAAGAAGCCAAUCCAGAGAGAAACAAACCCACAAUCUCAAGCACAACACCUCUACCUAGUCCACGAUCUCUCAACCCAAACGCCAGCUCAAAACCACAGCCACUGCCACGGCUGCGCUUGGACUCCAAUCAGAGGCCAGAGAGUGAAGAAUCGGACUGGGAUACGGACACUUUCAGUCCAGCCAAGAAGACAGCUUCACUGCCAAAUGUCACUGAGCCUGAUGCAGUUCGUCAGCAGAAACCCAAAGCUGAAGAUGCAGAGAGUGAAGACAGUUCUGACGCAAGCGAAGAUGUAGAUCAGGGUGGUAAGGAACAGGCGGAUGGCAUGAGGGGAGAACACCAGCCCGGUGUUUUAUGGGAUACUAGAGGAACCAGAGAACGAGGUGAACUUGACCAAGGAAAAGGGAAGAAAACUGACACCAACUCUGGGAACCCAAAACCUAAACAGGACGGGAUGGCUGACAGCAGGUCUUUGGGAAGAGAGGGUAGUGUUUCGCCAAGACAUCUGACAAGAAGUCAGAGAAGGUACAUAUGUCAUAUUACUAGAUGGAAUUAAUGUGAAGGGAGAUGUUUUUGUAAUGCAAUCAUGUAGAAGAACUUACUGAAAAAAUUACUGAGGACACCUUGAAGUAAAGAGCUUUCAGCAAACAGCCAUGGCUUAGAGAUCAAAACACGUUUUUACAAAUUUAUUUUCGUUCUAUUUCUAAAGUAUAUGCAUGCAUAAUAAAAAUAUAUAUAAUCAUGGAAUGCA
ensembl:lncRNA